AACGAACGCUGGCGGCAGGCUUAACACAUGCAAGUCGAACGCCCCGCAAGGGGAGUGGCAGACGGGUGAGUAACGCGUGGGAAUCUACCGUACCCUACGGAACAACAGUUGGAAACGACUGCUAAUACCGUAUUCGCCCUACGGGGGAAAGAUUUAUCGGGGUAUGAUGAGCCCGCGUUGGAUUCGCUAGUUGGUGGGGUAAAGGCCUACCAAGGCGACGAUCCAUAGCUGGUCUGAGAGGAUGAUCCGCCACAUCGGGACUGAGACACGGCCCAAACUCCGAAGGGAGGCAGCAGUGUGGAAUAUGUGACGAUGGGCGCAAGCCUGAUCCAGGCAGGCCGCGUGAGUGAUGAAGUUCUUAGGAUUAUAAAGCUCUUUCACCGAGGAGGAUAAUGACGGUAGUCGGAGAAGAAGCCCCGGCUAACUUCGUGCCAGCCGCCGCCGUAA
rnacentral:rRNA from 1 species